UGGGGCUGUAGCUCAGCUGGGAGAGCACCUGCUUUGCAAGCAGGGGGUCACCGGUUCGAUCCCGCUCAGCUCCACCA
rnacentral:tRNA from 1 species